CAGCAGCCGCGGUAAUACGAGGGGUGCAAGCGUUAUUCGGAUUGAUUGGGUGUAAAGGGUGUGCAGACGGCUUAUUAAGUCACUUGUUAAAUUCUUCGGCCUAACUGAAGGUCUGCAAGUGAUACUGAUGAGCUAGAGGGUGGAAGAGAGAAGUGGAAUUCUCGGAGUAGCGGUAAAAUGCGUAGAUCUCGAGAGGAACACCGGUGGCGAAAGCGGCUCUCUGGCUUGUAACUGACGCUGAGGCUCGAAGGCGUGGGGAGCAAACAGGAUUAGAUACCCGCGUAGUCCCUGUCUCUUAUAC
rnacentral:rRNA from 1 species